rnacentral:rRNA from 1 species
CAGCAGCCACGGUAAUACGGAGGGUGCAAGCGUUAAUCGGAAUUACUGGGCGUAAAGCGUGCGUAGGCGGUUCGUUAAGUCUGUUGUGAAAGCCCCGGGCUCAACCUGGGAAUGGCAAUGGAUACUGGCGAGCUAGAGUGUGUCAGAGGAUGGUGGAAUUCCCGGUGUAGCGGUGAAAUGCGUAGAGAUCGGGAGGAACAUCAGUGGCGAAGGCGGCCAUCUGGGACAACACUGACGCUGAGGCACGAAAGCGUGGGGAGCAAACAGGAUUAGAUACCCGCGUAGUCCCUGUCUCUUAUAC